ensembl:snoRNA U3 Small nucleolar RNA U3
AAGACUAUUUUUUCAGAGAUCACUUUUUCUGCUUUGUUACUGGAAGGUUUUCUGAACAUGUACAGCACCAGGAACUGUGAGGAGGGAGCACAGCCUUGUCUCCUAAGUGUGAAGUCAGCUCUCUGUGUUGUAACUGACACUUGGUAUUGAUGAUCAUUCUUUCCCUCCCUCAGAAGAAUUAAGAGGGGGAGGAUGAAGUCUGAAAGGG